rnacentral:tRNA from 1 species
GGAGAGGUGGCCGAGCGGCUGAAGGCGCUCCCCUGCUAAGGGAGUAACGGGUUUAUAGCCUGUUCGUGGGUUCGAAUCCCACCCUCUCCG